UACGUAGGGUGUAAGCGUUGUCCGGAAUUAUUUGGGCGUAAAGAGCUCGUAGGCGGUCUGUCGCGUCUGCUGUGAAAACUCAGGGCUUAACCCUGAGCUUGCAGUGGGUACGGGCAGACUAGAGUGCGGUAGGGGAGACUGGAAUUCCGUGUGUAGCGGUGAAAUGCGCAGAUAUCAGGAAGAACACCCGUGGCUAAGGCGGCUCACUGGCCCGGUACUGACGCUGAGGAGCGAAAGCGUGGGGAGCGAACAGG
rnacentral:rRNA from 1 species